ACCAGAGUGACCUGUCCACUCUAAUGCAUGUAUAUGUAAUGGGGCUUCGGUGGCGAAGUGGUUAGCGCACUUGCCUUUCACCUCUAAGGCCGCAGGUUCGAAUCUCAGUGACAACUUCUCAAUGUGACUCGAACCCAGUCCUCAUGUGAAAAGAGUAAAAGUCAACGCUCUGCCGAAAGUCGUGGGUUUUCUCCGGGUACUCCGUGUUUCCUCCCACAGGGAAAGUUGACAUGGUGGGUUAGGCACAUAGGUCUGGAGGCAGAUCAUUAAUGAGGUAUGGACUAAUAGCGGCUGCUCAAGCGCCAUUUGUAAGCUCAAAGUCUACCUCGGUCUGCUUCACGUCAAUCCGGUUCUAUCUAUCUCGCUAUUCAUAAUGUAACCAGUCACUGAAAAGCCCUGAUAGGG